AAAGGAUUCCCUUGACACUUUUUUGGAGACAAGAUCGAAUUCGUAGUGAAUCCAUUCUGUACUUUCAGUGAGCAGUAUUGGGGUUAGAAGAUGACAGGUGUAGCAGAAUCACAUUUUGACAACUGCUAGAGAUAAUCCUAAGGAGACUAAUUAUAUCUACAUAAAGUGACAAAGUAUGACAAAAUGAUGGCCCAG